UCUAAGACCCUGGACAGAAAGUGCUGGUGUUAACAAACUGUUGGCUAAAUAGCAAGGACCGUUCAAAAUCCUAAAGAAACUUGGGCCAACCAGGUAUCGACACCAAGGCACUCACACUCCAGUAGGGUACUUCACAUAUAUCUCUUAAAAGAGUGGGUGCAGCAACCUUAAAGCAGAAGUGAUCCUAAUAAGUGUGUUGGAUGAGCAAUACUUGCCUCUUUAUUGACCUGGUAGACCAUGAUCUCAGUAACCAAUCAGGUGGCCAAUGGCUUCAGGUGAGAUCUAGCUGUAAUUCAGAUGUUUUCCAGGAGAAUCCUGGGAGAACAAAUAUUGUUGAACAUGCCAUUGUUGUCAGAGAAGGUGCUUCUGUGAGAAGAUUAAGUUACAGAGUGCCUGCUGGCCUCACUGAGGAGGGAGGUUAACCUGAUGCCUUCCCUGGGGAUCAUCAAGGCUUCAAAGAGCUAGUGGUGUAACCCAGUGGUGCUUGUACCAAAGAAGGAUGGAAGCAUAAGGUUCUGCAUUGAUUUCAGGUACCUGAAUUUAAUUUCUCUUUGAUUCUUAGCCAACACCAAUAAUGUAUGAACUGCUUGAAAGGCAUAAUACUUGACCACAAUAGAUCUCUGCAAGGGUUAUUGGCAGAUUCCUCUCACCGAUCAGUCACAGGAGCUGACAGCCUCAAGGACACCAUGGGGCCCUUUCCAUUUCACAGUAAAACCAUUUGAGUUUCACAGCGCUCCAGCAACUUUCCAGAGACUCAUGGACCAGGUCAUUUGUUAUUUCUCUGGUUUUGCUGCAGCAUAUCUAGAUGUCAUUGUCAUUUACAGUAACACGUGGGAGGAACACCUGCAAGCUGUCUUGUAUCGCCUUCAUUCUGCCUGGCUGACUGUCAUCCUGUCGAAGUACCUAGGCCACGUCAUCUUCAAUGGGGUUGUACGCCCUCAGGUCAACAAAAUCCAGGCCAUAGAGUCCUCGCCCCUGCCACAAACAAGGAAGCAGUGCUGAUCUUUUUUGGGCUAUCAGGCUUCUAUCACUGCUUCAAACCCAAUUUCUCCAACAGGGCAGCUCUUCUCACAGACUUGACUAGAUCCUGGAGUCCCAAUCAGAUCCAGUGGACAGAGACGGCAGUGGCAGCUUUCAGUGAUAUCCAUCAAUCAUUGACUUUGACGAACAUUUUCUUCUGCAAACUGAUGCUUCUGACAGGGCUUUGGGAGCUGUGUUACUCCAGGGACUUCAGGAUGAUCGGCAUCCAGUCGCUACAUCAGCUGGAAACUGUUCCCCAGAGAGGUUUGAUCUUUGACGGUGGAGAAGGAGGCACUGGCUAUCAAGUGGGCCCUUGAUUCCUUCCGGUACUACCUUCUUGCUCAAGAGUUCACCUUGGAGACGGAUCACAAAAAUAAAAACCUACCUUUUCUUUAAACUUACUCCUGUGUCUCGUGCCUUACUGCUUGGUCCCUAGCAGUCCCCUACAAGAGAAUCCUACUCACCAGGGUAAGAGUGUUUAUAAGUCACACUACAAGUGAAGGCCUGUGUCUGGUCAUGAAAUGUUUGUCUGAUUUCACCUAUGGCUUUGAUGAUGUCACCAGUUGUAAUAAUCCCAAUGAAUUUCAUUACCUACAUAAAGAUGUGGCUUCUUCUUUAGGCUUUGGUAGAGAAACCAUCCAGUGGUGACGGGAAGACGUACCACUAUCUCCUCACACAGAAAUACGAGGGAAAAUAUGUACACCCAUUUUUCUGCCCCAUAGAAAAAAUGGAUGUAGGAUCUUUGAAAGAGGUUACCCUCUUCUGUUAGGGUUAUUUUUUAUUUUCUGAUAAGCAGAACUUUAAUCCCACCUCUCUACACAUUCAGCUCCAGUCUCAAAUCAAGAGAGACUUAUGCUCGACCAAUGAUUACCACAUCAAGGGCUGCAGUACAGUGGUGAUGUUCAGUCUGGGCCAUGAAAACACUUGGAGGAUUAUUAUGAUUCCAAAGAGGUGCAGAAUCUCAAGUCCCUGGAAGAAAUACGACUGCAGACUUUCACUUCAAGUCUUUGAGAAGGCUGUAAUCAUUCUAAUUGAACUGACUUUGACCGGGAAGCGUACGGAGUGUGGAGUUCUUCAUGCUGAUCGCCCGCCACAGUGGAGAGCAGUGUCCUGACUUGUGACGAGCUUCUUCUACAGUAUA